AUGCUCGCUUCUGCAGGACAUAUACCAAAAAAACUGGAAUGAUAACAGAAAAUUAGCAUGACCCUACAAAAGGAUGACACACAAAUUUGUGAAGUAUUAAAGAAAAAA
rnacentral:snRNA from 1 species